rnacentral:rRNA from 1 species
AUACGGAGGACGCGAGCGUUAUCCGGAUUCAUUGGGUUUAAAGGGUGCGCAGGCGGCCGUGCAAGUCAGCGGUGAAAGCCCGGGGCUCAACCCCGGAAGUGCCGUUGAUACUGCAUGGCUGGAAUGCGGUCGAGGCGGGCGGAACGUGGCGGGUAGCGGGGGAAUGCGUAGAUAUGCCACAGAACGCCGAUAGCGGAGGCAGCUCGCCAGGCCUGCAUUGACGCUCGGGCACGAAAGCGUGGGGAUCGAACAGGAUUAGAUCCCCUGGUAGUCCACGCCGUAAACGAUGGGCGCUCGUCGUCGGCGGCAGACAGUCGGCGGCCAAGCGAAAGCGAUAAGCGCCCCACCUGGGGAGUACGGUCGCAAGGCUGAAACUCAAAUGAAUUGACGGGG